rnacentral:misc_RNA from 1 species
GACUACUUUUUUCAGUCUCGUCAGAGACUCCGAUCUGGUGUCACACCGCGACCCACGUGUGACACACCAGUCACACGUGGGUCGCCUCGUCUCAGUCCGCCAUGAAAAGAAAAAGAUAACCGCGUAUCCACCUAAAUCCGGCCCGUCAUCGUCUCAUCGUCGUCUUCGUUUCAUCGUCUCAACGCCGUCUUCGUCUCUUCGUCUCAUUUUUCCACCUUUGUCUCGAAAAUGGCUUCGUUAAACCCAGCAAACAGUAUCUUGCCAGUUGCGUUUAUCUCACGCAAACCUUGGCAGUUGAAUAUAUAAACAGUGAUGGACUUCCCUCUAAGACAGUACCGCAUUCCAGCGUUUACCAGCGAACGUAGCAGACAUGUCGCGCAGUCACUUUUUCUUGGUCGCUUUGUUCCUCGCUGUGCUAGUGGCCAAUUGCUCCGCCAUACCAGCAGUUGAAGUCGAAGAGUCUGCAGUUUCCGCCGUAGUCUCAACAGACCCAACAGUUGAAAAUGCAAGACUUAAACGACAGUUUCUUGCUGGACUCUUGAUAGGAAAAGCUCUUGGAGCUGGAUACGGUUAUGGAUUAGGUCGUUCAGCUUACUAUGGCGGAUAUGGACACUCCUAUCGUGGCUACGGCUAUCCUGGUCCUUACGGCGAUUACGGAUACGGAGGCUACCAUAACUGGUAUGUAUUUCAACAUUGUCUUUUCGAAAUAAACGAGCUGAUUUACAGGAUCGAAUAGUUCCGAGCCAGUGCCAUUUUACAACGUUACUGCAUUCAACAUUUCCCACAGAACGACUGGAAUGAAUGGACAGAAUAAAUUUGUUAUCAGCACCUCCAUAUAAGGAAAAUUUAACAUUUCCCCAAGACUUGCUAUUGUAAAACGUGCGUGAAUAGACCUGAUGCAUGACGUCUGCAAAAACUAGGAUCCGCUCUUGGAAACCGUUUGUCACUUUUUUCACGGCCAUCCUGCGGUCAUCACUUCCACAUACGUAGGCGCCAUGUGUGAUACGACGUCCCAGGACCAAUGAGCUCCAUGAGCGUCACAACAACACCACAUCAAGCAUUGCAGCUGGCAAAAUGGCAUGAGAGGUGAUGCUUUCGCGUCUUAUUCCUUGUUGGGUUUCGACCCUCCUUCCAGCACAACGAUAUGAGUCGCCUGGUAUUCGUACUCAGGGAGGACACUCGCCUAAAGAGACAAUUUGGCGGCGCGCAUGGAUUAUUAAACGGGUUUUUGUAUGGAUACGGCUAUCCUGGAUACGGAUAUGGACGCUAUUCGUAUUACGGCUAUCAGUAACCUUACGUUGGACAUAGACCAGCUUAUGGGUAGGCGAUCUUUAAACGACAUUUUUAGUGUAAAUAUUGACAGGAAUCCAAACGAUUUUUGUUUUUUAACGCGCACAUAGACCAUACGAUUAUUAUGGUCAUCGUUGGAAUGAAUACAGAUUGUGAAAUUCUUAAAAGAAAAUUACUGCACACACGACGAGGAACUAUUUUUAUGAAAAAGAGGUAAAAGUGGAUUAAUUAUGCUUAGCUUGUUUUGGUGAUGGUUCAGAUUUAAAUGUCGAGCAUGGAUGUUGAUUAAUACUGUUAUAGAAUAAAUGAAAUUUUGAAGUA